GAUUAACGCUGGCGGCGUGCAUAACACAUUCAAGUCGAACGGAAGAGAGUGCUUCGGUACUUUCUUUAGUGGCGGACGGGUGAGUAACGCGUGAGUAAUCUACCUUCCAGUGCGGAAUAACAACCGGAAACAGUUGCUAAUACCGCAUGAAAUGGCAGCAUCGCAUGGUGCAACUAUCAAAGAUUUAUCGCUGGAAGAUGAGCUUGCGUCCGAUUAGAUAGUUGGCGGAGUAACAGCCCACCAAGUCGACGAUCGGUAGCAGGACUGAGAGGUUGAACGGCCACAUUGGAACUGAGAUACGGUCCAGACUCCUACGGGAGGCAGCAGUGGGGAAUAUUGGGCAAUGGGCGAAAGCCUGACCCAGCGACGCCGCGUGAGGGAAGAAGAUCUUCGGAUUGUAAACCUUAGUCAACAGGGAAGAAGAAAGUGACGGUACCUGUGGAGGAAGCCACGGCUAACUACGUGCCAGCCGCCGCAGUAAGAC
rnacentral:rRNA from 1 species